GAAAUGCGAUAAGUAAUGUGAAUUGCAGAAUUCAGUGAAUCAUCGAAUCUUUGAACACACCUUGCGCUCCUUGGUAUUCCUUGGAGCAUGCCUGUUUGAGUAUCAUGAAAUCUUCAAAGUAAAUCUUUUGUUAACUCAAUUGGUUUCUACUUUGGUAUUGGAGGUCUUUGCAGCUUCACACCUGCUCCUCUUUGUUCAUUAGCUGGAUCUCAGUGUUAUGCUUGGUUCCACUCGGCGUGAUAAGUUAUCUAUCGCUGAGGACACUGUAAAAGGUGGCCAAGGUAAAUGCAGAUGAGCCGCUUCUAAUAGUCCAUUGACUUGGACAAUACUUUUAUGAUCUGAUCUCAAAUCAGGUAGGACUACCCGCUGAACUUAAGC
rnacentral:misc_RNA from 1 species